UAGGAGGAGGAAAAAGCUGUUGGGGGGGGCAAUGAGGUGUUAAGUUUUGGGUCCAGCAUCAGUUGAAUGAGGAAGACCCAAAUAAUGCAGUCUGGGUCCGGCAUCAAUUGAAGGGAGAGGACACAGAUGAUACAACAAUGGGCCAGUUUCCUCCACCCCAUAUGGGUUUCAGCCAGGACGGGUGCGAGAAGCUCCAGUAACAAUCACCUUACGUGAGGGGAAUGCUCCAGUUUCCUCCUCCAGACACCUGGAGGAGUUUUUGGUGCUUCGAGACCACUGAUCCUCUUGGAGACAUGAGCAUCUGGCAAUUUUAAAUGCGGGCUUCAGCUUUAGAUAGAGGGCACUCUGUGAAACGUGUGUCUUCAGGAUCACUAAGCCAGGCAUCCCCAUCAAGGUUUCAGAUGUGCAUUGGCAAGGACCAGUGGCAGAGCUUCAGUAGUACCCCACCUCCUUCGGACAGAUGCUCCAGGAUCCCGUAUUGCCAGAGGAGGCCUCAACAGGGUAGGAGCCACUAUACCAGAUGUGCACAGAUCAGGACCAGUAGAGAAACAUCAGUCUCACCCCUCGGAUGGGCAUUUUCUUUUCCAUGUCUUCACGGGAGGCUCAGAGAGCUAAGAUGUAUCAGAUGUCUGACAUCGCCACGGUCAGCAUCUCCUUUGCCUCGGGCGGCUCGGACGUCUGCGGCUCCGUCCUCAUCACCUCCCUCGGCUCCGAUGUCUCCCUCGUCUCCGGCUCCCCCAGCUCCAUCAGCUGUGAGAACCUUUGCUACGGGAGACUAUGUUGGGUAACAGAUGAGGACCUCAGAGGGCAGAUGGGGGAACCCGACUUCUCAGGCUUACGAAUCCUGGACCAGUCUUUUCCAGGACCAGUUUUCUCAACACCAUAUGGGUUUCAGCCAGGACCAGCAGAGAAACUACAGUAACAACUGACUUCCCUCAGGGCGAUGCUCCAGGCUCCUCCGCCAGGCACCUGGAGGAGGUUUUGGUGAUGCUGUUAAAUGCAAGCCCUGGCUUUGAGGAUCAACCCCUUGUAGUGUGGGCACAGACAAGUCAAUUACCAGACUUGCCCCACCAGAUUGAACUGUGUGGACCAUGUGAUCAUUACCAAGGGAAGCUUGGAGACCACUGAUUCUCUGGAAGGAAUUAGUGCCCGGUGAUUUAGAUGUGGUCCUCAGCUGUGGACAGAAGGCAUGGGAAGCGGAGACUAGGGAAGGUGCCCAAAAAACGGACUAGGUCACGACCGACCGAUUGCCGGCUGUUCCUCUGGACACAGACGAGGAGGAAUAACCAUGGCCACGAGGAGCUUCAGGGUAGAGUGUGGAUCUCCCAUCGCCUCGGACACCUCCCUCAUCUCUGGCAAUUCCACUGUAAACCGGUACUGUUGAUUUUUCUACCCCGAUGGUGUAUGUUCCUGUAAUAGGUUUAUGUAUGAUAAUGUCUAUCUCCCAUCUAGCCUGUAAGCCCAGAGUGGGGAAGCAACUGUACUCUCCCCAAGGCUGUGGACAGGGUAAGAGUUGAAUAAAAGAGGAUUGGGCUUGAGAACAACCA